UGAAGUGUCAGCGAUCCUCCUGCCUCAGCCUCCAGAGUGCUGGGAUCACGGGGCGUGCGCCACCACGCAUGGCUUUGUUUUUCGUUUUUAAAAAAUGCGCAUUUGGAGAGACAGAUGGAUGGGAAGCAGAAAGAGGCCUGCAUCGAUUGCAGGCCAGAGGAAGGCUGCGUUACCUCCAGGCUGUCCCCCACCGCCCGCCUCCUGUCCCUGGCCUCCACUCCCUUGCCUCUCCUGCCCACUUCUGGAAGCUGGGAGCAACGCGUGCUCAUUAUGAAAGAUUCAGAGGACAGGUGGAAGAGAGGAGAAACAAUGAGGCAGGUUUUAGCAGCCUCGGGGUGUUUACAGCAGAGUUGGAAUGAUGAGGUUCCCUCUUCAUGAAACUGGGGUGCUCCUUCCUUUACCCCUCCUUAAAAUCCAGCUCAGGUUCCUGCUCCCCACAGGGGUCCCCAGGGUCCCGAGGUCCAGAACAAUCUUCGCUUUAACUGAUCUUGGUUUCUUCCAUUUGAAAAAGCAUUUAUUGACAUUUAUUACUUUGGGGCGGCACGUAGGACCCGGCCGCUGGGAUGCAUCCCUCCUGUCUGCAUUAGGAAGAGGGCGUGUGCCGGGCACCCGCAACCUCAUCUGACGGCGUCAUUGUGGAAGGCAGAAGGUGAGUGUUGCGCUCGCCCCCACUUCACAGAUGAAGAAAUUGAGAACAAGAAGCUUUCCUGGAAACCACGGCAGGUGAGCUGAGAGCCAGGAUUUGCACCUGAGUCUCUGGGCUGGGGCUUGAGCUCUGAGCUCCCACAUGGCAUUGCCUCCCUGCACAACUUAGCAAGGGGAUAAAGGUCCUCACCUGGGUGUGCCCAGGAGAGGGAGGACAGCGGCAUCAUCCUGGGGAUGUGAGAAGACUCCCUGGAGAUGGUGAGGCUUUACUGGGUUUUGAAGGAUGUAUAGGAGUCGUCAGCACAGGAAGCAUCUGAAGAGGAGAAAACAGCCUGUGCGUGGUGUGACGGGGGUGAGUGGGCAGAGACAGCGGCAGCACAGGGACAGGCCGGGAGGAGAGGGAGCCCGGCACUUACACUCUCCACUCCAGACUGGAGUUUUGGGUGCCUCGGGCACGCAGCAACCUGGCAGGUGACCCAGAGGGAGGUGGCGGCUGGGCUGUGCACCAGCCAUGCCCAAGCUGGGCCCGGGAGCUGCGUUCCCAUUUGAAGUCUCUGCAGCAAGCAAGCGUGCUGGGAGCUGUCCCUGCAUGCUGGGGACGUUUGGGGCCCGGACUGGCAUGGCCAGAGGUCUGACGCCUUUGUUCCUCCCAGGCUCCCUGGCCCCGCCCUCUGCCCACCCUGCUGUGGUCCAGGGAGGGUGUGUUCAACUGCUCCUGCCUUGGGGUCUUUUAUCCAGGGCCCUGGGGUCAAGAUCCUUGCGCCGGGCGGUAUUUCAACAGCCCGACUCUGGGUCUUGGGAUUCUGGAGCUCGGGCUCGGCCUUGACCUGUGCCUGUGGCCCCAACCAGUGCUCUUCAGGGCAGACUCUGGCUUCUGCUGCGCCGGGCUGCUAGGCAGAGCCCCGGGAAGCCGUGACAGCCGCUCGUGGCUCCUCCGCCUCCUCGCGGACUCUCCGUGCGCCCUAGGCUGCCCCACCUCAGGGGACGCCCACCUCACCCGGCAGCCGGAAGCGCUCCUGCGGGAGGACUAGAGCAGGUGCUGGCCACCUUCUCCCCCACCCCACCCCACCCCCGGGCUCUCUCCUGAUUGCGGAAGUAGCCUGGGACCUGCACCACAAGACCCCCGCGGCCCAGCUUCUGCUCCCGGUCUGGCCCGCUCUGGUCUCCCAGCCAGCGUCUGUGAGCCCGACAUCUGGGGCGCCUCAGUGGGGCGCCUUUGCUGUCCCGUCCUCCAUCCCAAUUUGGGGCCCAGCUGUGACCAGACCCGAUGACGUCUACGGGGGCCUCUGGCCCCCCUUCCCUGGCUGCGGGCACUAGAGGCUGCCCAGGCCGCCCUGUGGGGGCCUUGAGGACCUCUUCCCUCCCCUCUCCUGCUUUGCCUCUGGGUCCACCUCUCUCAUCCUGGCAGCUCCCGUGGCCUUGGUCCUCACCACACAAGGUCUCGCGCCAGCACUGCGGCUUUUGUGGUCUCCAGGAGACGGCUGGGCUGGGAGUCCCAGGGUUCCCACCCCUCUGCCCUCCCUGGACAGACAGACCUCAUUCCGUCCCUGCUGCCCACCUCACUGGACAGCCAUGCUGGGACCCCGUCCAGUCUCGGCGCCGGAAUGGGCUGCUGUGUGCUCUGAUAAUGGCCGUUCUUUCUGGGUCUUCAGGCCGUGCUCGGCUGGCUCCAGAACAGAACGACGUGGCAGAAGGUGUGGGGAAAGAGAGCCGUUCACUUCAGCC